CAUUUAUCAAUGAUGCUGGUAAUAAUAAAUGUCUGAACAUAUGACAUUUCAUGAUUUCGCUCUUUAAACUGAGGUAAAUG